rnacentral:rRNA from 2 species
CAUUUGAGUGAGUGGCGGACGGGUGAGUAACACGUGGGUAACCUGCCCUAAAGUGGGGGAUAACAUUUGGAAACAGAUGCUAAUACCGCAUAAAACCUAGCACCGCAUGGUGCAAGGUUGAAAGAUGGUUUCGGCUAUCACUUUAGGAUGGACCCGCGGUGCAUUAGUUAGUUGGUGAGGUAAAGGCUCACCAAGACCGUGAUGCAUAGCCGACCUGAGAGGGUAAUCGGCCACACUGGGACUGAGACACGGCCCAGACUCCUACGGGAGGCAGCAGUAGGGAAUCUUCCACAAUGGACGAAAGUCUGAUGGAGCAACGCCGCGUGAGUGAAGAAGGUUUUCGGAUCGUAAAACUCUGUUGUUGGAGAAGAACGUAUUUGAUAGUAACUGAUCAGGUAGUGACGGUAUCCAACCAGAAAGCCACGGCUAACUACGUGCCAGCAGCCGCGGUAAUACGUAGGUGGCAAGCGUUGUCCGGAUUUAUUGGGCGUAAAGCGAGCGCAGGCGGUUUCUUAAGUCUGAUGUGAAAGCCUUCGGCUCAACCGAAGAAGUGCAUCGGA